rnacentral:rRNA from 1 species
UACCUGCAGCUCAAGUGGUGACCACUAUUAUUGGGCCUAAAACGUUCGUAGCCGGUUUAUUAAAUGCUUGGGUAAAUCGUGUAGCUUAACUAUACGAAUUCCGGGUAGACUGAUAGACUUGAGACCGGGAGAAGCUAGAGGUACUCCUGGGGUAGAGGUGAAAUUCUGUAAUCCUGGGGGGACCACCAGUGGCGAAGGCGUCUAGCUAGAGCGGGUCUGACGGUGAGGAACGAAGCCCUGGGGCGCAAACCGGAUUAGAUACCCGGGUAGUCCAGGGUGUAAACGCUGCUUGCUUGAUGUUAGUUGGGCUCCGAGCCCAAUUAGUGUCGGAGAGAAGUUGUUAAGCAAGCUGCCUGGGAAGUACGAUCGCAAGAUUGAAACUUAAAGGAAUUGGCGGGGGAGCACAGCAACGGGUGGAGCGUGCGGUUU